rnacentral:ncRNA from 1 species
AAGGAUAGCCCCUUCGUACGAAAGGAGUUGGGUAUAUUGACCUAUGGUUUACCUGUUGUUUAUGCUAUAUAUAUAUAUAUAAUAUAUUAUAUCAUUUACUUAUACUUAAGUAAAUGUUCACAUAGGCAUGGCAGGAAGGCUACGUCAGUUAAAGAUAAGUGCUGAAAGCAUUUAAGCGCGAAGCUUACUU